AUGGCCCCACCCACCACACCCUUUCCUCCUCAACUGAUACUGUAGACUCAAGCAAAUAUCUCAUGGAAAUAGGCCAGGGUGGAUCUCCCAACCUAAGAUCCUACUGUCACACUGCUGAGGAAACUAAAUACCCCGUGGUCAAGAAAUAAAUAUGUCAAAGCUUCUAGGAAAAUAUUAACUGGGAAUCUUGCUUCAGACUCAGUGAGUAUGGGUACUUUUGCUGCUUUUCACUAUAGGAUGGACUUUAGAUAUCACUCUUCUAAUUUAUAUUAGCCCUCUU
rnacentral:lncRNA from 1 species